AUUGAACGCUGGCGGCAUGCCUUACACAUGCAAGUCGAACGGUAACGGGCCUUCGGGUGCCGACGAGUGGCGAACGGGUGAGUAAUGCAUCGGAACGUACCUUUCAGUGGGGGAUAACGUAGCGAAAGUUACGCUAAUACCGCAUAUUCUGUGAGCAGGAAAGCAGGGGAUCGCAAGACCUUGCGCUGAUUGAGCGGCCGAUGUCAGAUUAGCUAGUUGGUGAGGUAAAGGCUCACCAAGGCGACGAUCUGUAGCGGGUCUGAGAGGAUGAUCCGCCACACGGGAACUGAGACCCGGUCCAGACUCCUACGGGAGGCAGCAGUGGGGAAUUUUGGACAAUGGGGGCAACCCUGAUCCAGCCAUGCCGCGUGAGUGAAGAAGGCCCUCGGGUUGUAAAGCUCUUUCGGUCGGGAAGAAAUCGCAUGGGUUAAUACCCUGUGCGGAUGACGGUACCGGCAUAAGAAGCACCGGCUAACUACGUGCCAGCCGCCGCAGUAACAC
rnacentral:rRNA from 1 species